UGACUGAAUCACAUAACUAUGCCAGGAUAACUAUGCCAUUCUGUCACAUUUCAGUUAGUCUUACCUUUCGGUUAUCUGAAUGGCAUAGUUUUAUUCUGUGGUACGUGGCGUAUAUUUUGAGGUGACAGAUCGAAAUGAAGUCCAAAAGUGUACUACUCAAACACAUUCCAGACUUUAUCAUUUUUGAUUGUGAAAAUUAUAAAAAUGUUUGGUUCGUUGCUACACCUUAUUCAGUAUUCAUAUAGUAAGAUAGAUCCUGAAUAUAUUCAAAGUACUCUAAAAAAAAAAAAAAAAAAAAAAGAGAGAGAAAAACUUAAACUUGACAUUGCAGGUUUCGUUUACAGAAUAAAUAUAUCAACAUAUC
rnacentral:misc_RNA from 1 species